rnacentral:rRNA from 1 species
UACAGAGGUCCCGAGCGUUGUUCGGAUUCAUUGGGCGUAAAGGGUGCGUAGGCGGCGGGGUAAGUUUGAUGUGAAAUCCCGGGGCUCAACCCUGGAAUUGCAUUGAAUACUACCUUGCUAGAGUACCGGAGAGGAAACUGGAAUUUACGGUGUAGCAGUGAAAUGCGUAGAGAUCAUGAGGAAGACCAGUGGCGAAGGCGGGUCUCUGGACAGUUCCUGACACUGAGGCACGAAGGCCAGGGGAGCAAACGGG